rnacentral:tRNA from 1 species
GGCCCGGUGGCAGAGUGGUGAUGCAGAGGACUGCAAAUCCUUUUACGUCGGUUCGAUUCCGGCCCGGGCCUCCA